rnacentral:rRNA from 1 species
AAUGGUUAAGAGGGACAAACCGGGGGCAUUCGUAUCAUUACGCGAGAGGUGAAAUUCGUGGACCGUAGUGAGACGCCCAAUAGCGAAAGCAUUUGCCAAGAAUGUCUUCAUUAAUCAAGAACGAAAGUCAGAGGUUCGAAGGCGAUUAGAUACCGCCCUAGUUCUGACCGUAAACGAUGCCAUCUCGCGAUUCGGAGGGUUCAUGCCCUACCGAGGAGCUACCCGGAAACGAAAGUCUUUCGGUUCCGGGGGUAGUAUGGUUGCAAAGCUGAAACUUAAAGAAAUUGACGGAAGGGCACCACAAGGCGUGGAGCUUGCGGCUUAAUUUGACUCAACACGGGAAAACUCACCCGGUCCGGACACUAUUAGGACUGACAGAUUGAAAGCUCUUUCUCGAUUUGGUGGUUGGUGGUGCAUGGCCGUUCUUAGUUGGUGGAGUGAUUUGUCUGGUUUAUUCCGAUAACGAGCGAGACUCUAGCCUGCUAAAUAGUCGACGAAUCUUCGGGUUCGUAUAACUUCUUAGAGGGAUAAGCGGUGUUUAGCCGCACGAGAUUGAGCGAUAACAGGUCUGUGAUGCCCUUAGAUGUCCGGGGCUGCACGCGUGCUACACUGGUGGAGUCAGCGGGUUUUUCCUAUGCCGAAAGGUAUCGGUAAACCGUUGAACUUCUUCCAUGUCCGGGAUAGGGUAUUGUAAUUAUUACCCUUAAACGAGGAAUGCCUAGUAAGUGUGAGUCAUCAGCUCACGUUGAUUACGUCCCUGCCCUUUGUACACACCGCCCGUCGCUAUCCGGGACUGAACUGAUUCGAGAAGAGUGGGGACUGUGGCUGCGAGGUUUUACCACUUCGCAGUUGCGGAAACCAUUUUUAUCGCAUUGGUUUGAACCGGGUAAAAGUCGUAACAAGGUAGCUGUAGGUGAACCUGCAGCUG